rnacentral:rRNA from 1 species
UACGGAGGGUGCAAGCGUUAUCCGGAUUUACUGGGCUUAAAGGGUGCGUAGGCGGAAUUAUAAGUCAGAGGUGAAAGCCCCGAGCUCAACUUGGGAACUGCCAUUGAUACUGUUUUUCUUGAGUGUGGUUGAAGUGGGCGGAAUUUGACAUGUAGCGGUGAAAUGCUUAGAUAUGUCGUAGAACACCGAUUGCGAAGGCUGCUCACUAAACCAUUACUGACGCUGAGGUACGAAAGCGUGGGGAGCGAACAGG